rnacentral:lncRNA from 1 species
UUUGCUUGUUUUUUUUACAAUUUAAAAAUACUACUUCCACACGUUCAUGGUCGUGUUUCCUGAACAAGAUGUUCAAAAUUUCUUUUCAUUUCAUGGGUCAGGUCUCAAAAUGGGCCAAAUAACAUGAAUAUAAUUUUUCUACUCAUUUUGUUCCAUAAUUUGAAUCACUUGCAGUUCAAAUUUGACUUAUACCAAAAAUUUCCUUGAAAUGCAAUUAAUUAAAU